rnacentral:lncRNA from 1 species
UAACCAUGUAAAAUUCUCCUAUCCAAUAAAAAACUUUUGCUUAAUCAAUUUGAAUUUUGACUAAAUCAUAAAUCCAUCUUCAUACUUCUAAAGCUUCUUGAUGAUUUUGAACUUCUUCUUACUUCUAGAAUUUCAUUGGUCUAGUUUACACUAUUUUCAACACAGGAUUUGUGCUCAAAGAAGUUGGUUGGUCAGAGCUUGAACCACACCUCAACCUUGGCAUCACCAGAAAAUCUUCCUAGUGAGGUACAUUAUGAAAUCCUUAAGUGUACAAUAGCACAAUAUCUUUGUGCUACUAUAGACAGACCCAUCUGGGCCUACUAUAGACAAACCCAUCUUGGCCAAGUACAAGCUGAUCUGACCCAAGUUUCGUAGAAAUUUGAGCCAAGCCCAUCCUUCUGCUUUACAGGUCUCAGCUCAGCCCAACUGAAGGCGAGCUUCUAGGAGCCUAGCAUGGCUCGGACUAGUUACUAGUACUGCUCCCUUUUCAAGCCAACCUGACCCACUAUGACACCACAAAGUGAGAGUAUAUUUCUUGAUUCUAACAAUUUACACUUUUAGAUGAUAUAGUUUACUUUAUAUUCCAUUUAAGUAUUUAACUAAAGCACCUUUGGACGAGGAGAUUUACCUGAGAGUCCAGUUAGCUAAAGUGUAGUCUCCAUUGCCUCGAGUCUUGACUGACAAGUAACAAGCAGUCAUCCUGCCCAUUUCUUAUACCUUUUUCCCAUUUCUAGUUCGACCACUCUAGGUGUCCUGCAUUAUUAGGAGAGAAAAAAAAAAGCAAAAAAAAUAAAGUACAAACUUUGAAGGAAAUUCAAUUUUACCUCCAAGUAAAGAUGCCAAAAAAAAUUAAUUAUAAACUCAUAUCGUCCAGAUACGAGAGGACAAUCGCGAAGCUAAAGAACUACAUUUUGCACGACCUAGUCAUACUUCUAGUGACUGUACACGAGCUGUAGUGUCUCUCCAGCUCUUGAUUUCUUUCAUACUCACUACUUGAGGGGGAUUGAUUAAAUUAAUUUUGGUAAACAAAGUUAGGGAAGUUCGCGACUUCCUCACAAUCAAAAGUGUCCUUCGUAUAUUCAUUUACCAUUGAGAAAGAUGGCACUUCCACCCAGAUAUCAAAUCAUAUAUUGCUCAAAUCAUUAUCAUUAAUUGCUCGAUCAGAUUUUUGUGCACAUGCUCUUCCAUGUAUCGUUCAAGUUAACCAAAUAUAGAGGUCUCUUUAUUCUUUGCCAGAUUUCCAUUAGCUUCGUUGAUCGAGCUAGCUAAUGGUAGACUCUAAAAUUUUUCAGUUGAUUCACCAAUAACACUUUUAUAAUUUUAAGUAAGUAAUCGAUGGCACAAUUGAGUUGCAAUCUACUAAAUUAAAAAUAAGUAAAGAUAUAGUCUCGCUACAUUCAGAUGGUGCAUAAGAUCAUUUUAUAAACUUGACUUACAUUUUUUUUCAUAACAUCCACAAAAAGUUGUUACAAAAUUGACUAUUUUGUGUAGACGUCAUUUUUCACAUAUCAAACUCAGAUUGAAGAGCUUAAAUAAUUGAGGACAUUGCUACAUGUACAUCAAGUUUUACAUAAUGGAUUACAUAAUGUCACAUAUCACUAUAUUAUUUGUCAGUUUAAGACAUAAUCAAAUGUUUCAUUCAAUCUUUUCCUUCCACAUCAUUUUAUAUAAUCCUUUAUGGAUUAUUUUUAUGUACAAGUAGCCAUGGGCGAAUGUAAGAGGGGACUAAGCUGGGAUGUAGUCCCCCCAAAGCCCAAGAAUUUUUUUUAAGGCAUCUUUCUUUUUAUUUUUUAUUUUUGUAAAAACAGUUUUUUAUUUGUAAGUUUUUUUUUUAGUAUUAGCUUGACUUGAAAUUUUAUAGUCCGAUCUUAGAUCCAAUCUCGAAUCCGUCCCUACAAGUAGCAUGAUCCUAUAAUUGAUUUGGGACCAUUUUAAUUAUGAAAUCAGAAAUUAUACUAAUAGAAUCGAUAAAAUGCUUGAAAAUAUGAUUAGGAUUGCUUAUGAUCAUUUGAAACGAGAAAAUAAUAAUGUUAGGUAUAAGCCAAUAAUUUAUAAGUUAUUAUGAAUGAUUGAACAAUAACAUUAUAUUGUUGAAUAAUUAUUUGUGGAAAGUCCCUACAACUGUAUUACAUGUCGAAAUUACCAUCCCGUCCUUUUCAACUAUACGCGAAUAAGCAUUUAUCAGGGGUAAACAUGUCCAUUCAUUAAAUUUUUUAAACGCUCCGUACGAACAUCACACGUGCAGGUUAAUCUCAACUUGCAGUUUGAUUAACUUAAUUUGAUGUAAAGAUUCUUUUAACGGUUAACCAAAUCACAUGGAGACCAGCUAAGCCAGUCACAUGGGCCAGAUAACUGGGCCAAUAAAGCUGGCCCACAAAUGCUCCUGUGGUUACCUGGCAAUAGAUUCACUUGCAAGUUGCCAAGGGACUGCACGUGUGCUGUUCUCGAUCAACGGUGGAGGACCAUUCUAUUUCAUAUAAACGGCCAGGAUGGAUUUCUUACGUGGUUACAGCUUUCUGGGCGACCGACCACCGAGAAAAAGAAGGUAAGAGGAAAAGGAAAGUGCAUGAUUUUGAUUAAAGUAAUGACAAUCGCACGAUGAAAUUAUUCUUUGACCGUUGACUGAAUCCUUCAAAAACAGGGUCAAUUUUGACCAUGUCACGUGUAACCACACGUGUGCUAGCAUGUGGGUGCCUUGCUGUAACCGGGCAUUGAUGCUACGAAUAAUGCCAUUCAUGGACACGGCUUAUCAAGCUAGUGGGUAUUUUAAUUAUAUGAAACGUCACGU